GCGGAGCCGAGCCGAGCCGCGCCGGGUUCUGCCGCUGGCGGUUCCUGGAUAUAGGGAGAAGUGUCCUAGGAUUAAGGUGAUGAGGGAGCUGCUGACUGUGGGACUCUUGGAGUUGAUGAACUGUGGAGCUUUCUUUAAAGGAGGAUAUCCUGAGACCUGUGGCCCCUGAAAGCUAAGUUGAGGAGUUGAGGGAUGGGUGCUGGGGGGGGACAAAGUUGGGAAUUGCAGGGAGGGGUUUUAAAGUCAAGAGCUGGGGAGAGGGCUGUCUGGGAACUGUCCCUUUGGGCAGGUAAAGGCAGUGGGUUACUCUUCAGCGUGAUGUCAGCGUGUGCCAGGCAGGGCAGCUCCAGCCUGCUCGUGUCAUGGUGUUGUUUGUGUGGUCUGUUGUCUUUUGUGUCUCAAACCCUCCUUGGGUCCCAGUCUCCUCUUUGUGCUCCAGGAGCACAAAGCACUCAUCUUGCAGCCCAUCCUUAGGUCUUGAGCAUCAUCUGUGCUCACCCUCGUAGUGCCCGUGGGGCGCUGCUUUUCUUGCCUGAACUGAAAAGCCCAGCUGGGCCUCGUGACUCGGGUGUCUCCUCUUGAUCCUCUUUUUGCGCCGGUGUUGCGGUCGGUGUCGUCAGCCCCGCUCUGGAGGCUUCUCUUUCACAGGAAGAAUCUCUUUUCUGGGCAUUCUUCCCUGUGUCCUUGCAUUCUUGGGUCUUGCCAAGGCUUCUCGUGCAUCUGUCUGUUUCGGUUCUGACUGUAGGUUCUUGUCACGGUUUGCAAUGUUUGACCUUUCUCUGGGGCUGCCUUAUGGCUUCCUUACUGCUGAAAUCACAAGUGAAUUGAGUAUAGAAAUAUUGGGGCUAAUGUGUUAAUUAAAGGGAUAUCAGUUCAAAUUGCAUGCCUGUUAAAGACUUGUGCAAACUGACCACUGCUUGACCUAAGCGACUUGACUUUGGACUGGACUUGUGACUUGACUUAGCCUGAGUAUCUGGAGUGAUGAGGCCUUAGGCUGCGAUUCUAAUUAUCUUUAGCUGAACUCCUGUGAUGAGCCUUAGUUAGACCUUGACUCUGCCAGCUGUAAUAAUAUGGAAACAAGAUGUGGGCAAGAUAAUUACUCAAGACGAUCUUCUGAACUGGGAAGAUGCAUUGACUGAAAGUUAGGUGGGAGCAAUUGGACAAAAGCAGAAUGUGGAAGACUUUUCCAGCUGAGAAACAAGUGGAAGAGAACAAGACUGGAAGCACCCAGCUCAAGCUGCAGUAAACUGAGUCUGUGUCAGAACUGAGGGUCUGAGCUUCUCUCUCAGGUUGGAGGUGAAGACUGGAUCCAGCUGCACCUAGGCUCUGCCCUGAGAAGAAGGUGAGAAACCAAGGAGGUCCUGUCUGAAGCUCACAACUCGAAAGGAGGGACUUUCUGGACUCUUCAACACUCAUCUCAUGCUUGUGGUCCUGUAUGUCUUGCCACCUGGUGGCAUCUGCAUUGGAGGAGGAGGUUUUUUUUUUGUUGUUGCUGGGAGUUUCCUCUCAUGCUUGUGUCACAUCCUUUGUGUUUGUGUGUUGUGUCUCUGUGCUGUUGGGUUGGAGCUGCUCUCUCUGGAGGCUGUAUCAACUGUGGGGUUGGGAGAAGAACAGCAAGGAGAGCCUGUGGUUUGUGUUGCUGUGCUGUCUGUGCCUGUUGGGGUGCAGAUGGAGCAUUUGAAGUGAAGUAGCAGCCCUCAGCAGGGGAGGGUGGUCAUUUUCAUAGUGAUUUUGAGAAGGGGUGGCUGGAGCCACCUGGGAGAGGCUGCUGGAGCCAUAGCCAAGCAGGUUGGGUGUCUAAGUUGUUAAGGCCUGAAUGUGUGGGGCAUAAUGUUAACUUGUUUUUUAGCUCCCUUGUAGGUAGUUAGGAUCUCAAAGAUAUUUCUAAAUGGGAGUCUCUGGAAUUGCAUCCAGCUGAUUGCUUGUUACUGCUUUUUCAGAUGCAGGGAGAGGAGCCACGCAGCAGAGGGUGGUGGAGCAGAGGAGCAGAGCACAGUGAGGAGCUGGGUCGGUGCGUAUUGAAGAGCCUGGGUGAGUUGUCCCCUGGGUUGUGAGGGAAGGUGUGAGUGGUGCCUCUAUCGACUGGCUCAUGGUUCGGGUUUGUUUUGUAGGUGCAAAGCACCGAGGGAAGUGGGAGAUCUGCACUGGAGGUGACUCGAGCAAGGCGGCACACAGGGCUGGACGUGGCAACCUGUGACCAUCAGAGGCCGGACAGGUGAGCCACGAAGUUUUGCAGCCUUGGAGCAGUGGAGCAGCAUGCCAACGGGCCAUCUGUGGAGAUGACACAGGCAUCAGCCAGAUGCCACAAGCAAGGAUGGCCUCAGCAUCCGAUUCUGGAACCGGCAGAUCACUAUGAGGAGCCUGGCGAUGGCAGGAACAUCCCAGGGAGGACAGCUUAUCGAGGAGGAAGAGUGCAGAGCCCUGGCCAUCUGAAAGCUAAGUGGAGGGGCUGGGAGGAGGGGACAAGGUUGGGGGUUGGAGGCGGAGGGUUUCAAAGUUGGUGUAGGGGAGAGGACUGGCAGGGCACAGUCCCCUUGGGGCAGGCAAAGGGAGCAGGUUACUCUUCAGCACAAUGUCAGCAUGGGCAGGGCAGCUCCAACCUGUGUCUGGCGUGUACUUUGUGUUGCCUGUUUUCUGUUUCUUAGACUGUAUGUUCUUUGGCUUUUGGUGCCUCCAUAGCUCGGUGACCAGCAGGCACCUCGGUAGCCCUCCCGAGAGUCCAGAAUGCAUCACUUCACUGGCACAGAGCCUGUUGAGCCCUUCUCAUCUCACAAUUACAGCUUGACGCGUGGAUCUCUUUGGCGUGUGCCACAUCCUGGCUGUUCCUGAGCGUUCAUCUCUUGCGGUGGCCAGCCAGGUGCUGCCCGCAGCUCUGCUCUUGAGUCUGCUGUUUCCAUAGAGUCAUCUUCUGGGGUUUCAUCCUCAUGUCCUCACUGGUCUUGGGUCUUCAAGCAUGGCUUCUCACACAUCCCUUAUUCUGGCUUUGAUGGCAGCUUUCUCUUGUGUGUGGCUGCAAUUGCCUCUCCUUGGCAGGUCUGCUUUAGAGCAUCCGUGCCAUUGUGGCACCGUAGGGCUUCUCUGCCGGCAUCAUCUUCCCUAUGGCAAUCUUUCACUGAGCAAGGACGAGAGACUUAUAGAAAGUUACAAAGGUCUUCUGAAAAAAAAGAUCCUGAUCUUGUUGAAACAAGAAGAUGGGGAAGCACGUGCUUUGCUUAAAAUGUGGCAGAAUUGCCGAAGUUGCUGUAGCUGAGCGACGUCUGCUCGUGACAAAAUCAACAAUAUGGAAACCAGACCUUCAGCAUUUAGGCUGCCCACCUCCAACUGAAGACCUACCCACUGUGUGUCCUGUACCUCAAAAUCAGAGUGAGAAAUUCACUAACCAAUCAGAGUAGAGUAACUGUGUAUCUGUAUUAGGUGAAGGAAACUAACCACAAGUGCAUAAAUGUACAUAGCCUUGCUACUUCAGGGGGCAGCUUUGUGUCUAACCCCCUCUCGCCCUGUGUUUGCCUAAACAAAUGAAAUAAAUGAAAAUACCUUGGCUCUGUAUGUAUUUGGCAUCUUGCACACCAGGUGAAUGACCCCACUUUUGGUAUAACGAGGUAUAACACUUGCGGCAUCCGUGUGUAGUCCUGGUCUGUGUGUGAGGGUUGGAGCUGCCCUGCCCAGGGAUGCAGCAGUACUGAUGACAGGGUAGCGUAGCUUUAUGGGGGUGUGGAAGUAAGUUGGUUUGGACCAAUUCUGUUGGCAGAGACCAUACGGUCCAUCUCUGGGCCAACAGGUGUAGGCAGUUGCCACAGUUGUGUUCGCUUUUCUUUAUGGUCAGGGGCUAGGAUUGGAUCCAGCCGCACCUAGACUCCUCUGAGAAGGAGUUUAGAAAGCAAGGGGGUCCAGUCUGAACCUCGUGACUGGUUGGGAGCAGCAGUUAGUGUGGAAGGGGAGGGGGUCAGAUCUGGAAGGUGCCUUAGCUUGCACAGAUGGGGCUCCCUAGCUGGCUUUUCUUCUUCUAGCUGUAGUGAGAAGGUAUAUGCAAAAGGCAGAGAGACCUCUGGCCUCACCAAGCUACCUGUGGCUGUGCAGGUGACUUGCUUUACAGGGUGUGUUUGUGUUGUUUCAGGUGCAGAGCAACAAGGAGCACAGCCAAGGGCACGGAAGAGGGGAGCAGAGUGCCGGCUGAAGAAGGACAGGCAUCCAGUGCCGGAGUAUCGGCAGGACAGCGGGUGGCUCUGACAAGCUGGAGCUUAUCUGGCUGGAUUUUCUGGGUGCAAAUCCAAGUGUGAAGCGAGAUGUUAUCAGCAGAGCGGCCUCUGGCAAGGUGGUACACAAGCCCUCCUAGUCCCCUGGGGUCCCUGCCUGGAUGGUUCAGGAUGGCCUGGUGCUGCAAAUUGCAUUUCCAGAGACAAACAGCAGCUUGGCAGCUUGUGGUCAGGACUCCAGAGAGAUUUGAGAAGGCCCCAGAGCACCUUCUGCAUCCUCUCACAGUCAGCAUGUGAGUGAAGUGAUGCAGGAUUCCCACCUCCGUGCCGGUCCCGCAUGUCAUCCUCUUCCCCUGUGGUUCCAGACUGUCAGCAUAGGAGAGACUUGCUUCCCCUCCAGGUCCAAGUGUUUCCCAGUGCAUGAGAGACCUGCCACAGAACCUGAGCUUUCCUAUUGCAUUGAUUGAAGAGCUGCAUAACACUUAGAGCCUGGUGUAGGCUUCCUGCUAAGAAGCCGUUUCUUCACAAAAUGCUUUUCUUUGUCUAAGAUGGAGACAUACAAGUAGUGGUGACCAGAUCUGUGCUUGAAAAUGGACUUGAUGGAGAGUACCAAACUUCUCUUUCAUUGCAGUCUGUAAUGAUUUUUUUGGCCUCAAAUGUUUUUUGUGCUGCUUCUCAAACACACUUUCCCAGCCUUUUUUUAAAUGUAAGCAGACAUUGAAAGAAAAACCAGCACUCAGAAUAUUGAUGGAGAAAGAAUUGUGCACAAUUUCAGAGCUUCACAGACUUGUUUAUAAGACUUACUUAUUUGAAAAAGUGACACACUUGUUGCUAAUCAAUUAAUAACACAUUAUUUUUCACUUCAUAAUGGAGUCACAAGCUGCUGUUGUCAGACCCUGAUCUCUGGGAGGCUCUUUCCAGAAAAUCAUGCAUAGGAAUAGGAUCAUCCUCUAGGAAAGCUGGAAACACUGUGGUUCAUAAGUUGGAUUUUUUUGUGGAGUAAAACCUGGCCAUGUUGGGCAAGCCUCUUGGAAAUACCCCUGCUUUCCUAGGAACUUGCUGGAGAAAUCCCAAGGCAGACUGACCAUGACACCUGAAGCAGAUACCAGCCACCGGUGUGUUCAGGUGCAUGAUCUGAGGUGUUAAUUUGAACUUGGACUGGAAGAUGCAGUUAAAAUAUUCAUCUUUAUGCAGGAAGCAACCAGGGAAGACAUUCUUAAGUUUAAAAGGUAACAAGGUCCACAGAUGAGGCUCUGCAGGAAUGGUUCAAGAUGCAGCUUCUCCCAGCUCAGAUGCAUUACACAGACUUGCAGACUGCUGCUGAGGUAAAUCCUUUUCUUAUUUUCUCCCCCUCAACAGCAGAAUUCAAAGCUCUUCUAACUGCAGGGGACCUUGGGUGGUU